rnacentral:misc_RNA from 1 species
AACGCAUAUUGCGCUCUCUGGUAUUCCGGAGAGCAUGCUUGUUUGAGUAUCAGUAAACACCUCAACUCCCCUUUCUUUUUUUUGAAAUGGGAGCUGGACUUGAGUGAUCCCAACGCUUUUCUCACCGAAAAGUGGCGGGUUACUUGAAAUGCAGGUGCAGCUGGACUUUUCUCUGAGCUAAAAGCAUAUCUAUUUAGUCUGCCUAAAAAACAGAUUAUUACCUUUGCUGCAGCUAACAUAAAGGAGAUUGGUUCUUGUGCUGACUGAUGCAGGAUUCACAGAGACAGCUUCGGCUGGCUUUGUAAACUCGAUCUCAAAUCAAGUAAGACUACCCGCUGAACUUAA